AGACCGAAGCUGUACGGUGAGGAGAAGCAAGCAUGAAAGAUGAUUUCAAUAAAGCGAGCGUGCUUCGCCUUAGGACAACAACACUGGCUCUGACGUUAUGCGCCUGAGUGAGUAGGUGGUGUGCAAGACUACCGUGAAGGACCCAGGGGAUGAAGUGCUGGAGAAGAUGGAACGCCCUUGAACAGGAGGGAAUAGGCUCCACCUUAGAUGGUAUUUCAGCUUCUUCAAAGCCAAACUUUGAAGUACAGAGAGAAUGAAGGAGUGCAUAGGGACUGUGCAUGGCCCAUUUUUCACAGGCUCAUUUCAGGUCCCCACAGUCAGGACACUGCUGUGGAUUCUGACAGUGUGUGGUAUCGUCAUGUUGGUCUUGAGUGACUGACUUUAACAUUCAUUUUGCCCUUCACCUUCAAUAAGGGACUCUGGGCACCGUGUCCCCACCAACUGCUGUCCCUUUCAAUACCACUCACUGCCCCCACCACCACCUGUAGCCCCAGUUUGUCACAUCAACUGCUGCCUUCACCCUACCCACCGUGUCCCCAACCCUUAUGCCCACCAAUCUUCUCCCUGCCCCCACCUCAUGCAGACCCAUCCCAACCCCACCUUC